GCCGGCGUCGUCUUCACCGCCCACGAUCCCGAUCUGCUGCCAACAGCCAUAAAUACGAGCAGCUGCUGCUGCCGGCCGUCGACGAUGCACAAAAAAUCAAGGCUAAGAAUCAGCUAGAUUCUUACUUUCUGUAGCCCGCCUAGUCUGCUGGAGGGGGAGGAUGACACAACCUGGCCUCUCCUUGCCUCCGGCCGUUCCUGAUCCAGCGGUGCUGCAGCUGAUGUGGGGCGGAUCCGGCAUUUCUUGUAAUGUUCUGCAGGAUAACUGGGAGGACUAAACAACGGCGGCGGUGGCAUUCGUCUUGGACUCCUUGUGUGUUUAGGGAAGUUUCUGGUUCCUGUGUGUGAUUUCUUUGUGUAGUUGAUCAUGUAGUAUCUCUUCAUGGCGUUUGCUGGCCUGGAGUUGUCCAAGCAGUAUCAUGGUUGUUAGUUGUCAGUGUUUUCCAAGUGGGCAGACUUGGUUCACUGUUCUGUCUGCUGUGCGCCAUUUUCAAAAGAUGUGCUAUUGUAUUUUCUAGGACUAACUCCAUCCCAAAAUAAGUGACUCGAUUAUGUCUAGAUAUAUAUCUAGACACAUUUUAGCUGUAGAUACAUCCGUAGUAGUGUCCUUGCUGCAGAUAAGAAUGGCCUGAUGCUAAUUUGUUUGUUUCACCAUGUAGAUACUUGUUCAGUAGUAGUGCCCUUGGCACAGACGGAUAGACUUGGUUGAUUGAUUGCCGUUUGUGAUGUGCAGGUUGUUCCGCCUUAUUCGCGCUUGUGUGCGGUGUCGCAGCAGGGAAGGGGAGGAUCCUGCGCCAAGCCAAGGAGGAGGUCGACCUUGGCAUGGUUCUGGCCGCGCUGCUACCUGCGACGGCGGCGGCCACCUGUGUGUUUUACAUACUGUUUGGGAGGAUGGAACCUUGGUAGUGUUUGAGUGGUCUGAAGAUUGGAACGGCCACAGCUUGUUGUAAUUAAUUAUAAUGGUUCGUUCCUUUUGCACUUUUUCUGAUAUUUUGUUGAUGAGUUGCAUGUGGUGAGCUAAAGCUGUGCGUAUGGGAAGUUGAGCUCUAUAUGUAGUAGAUGCUCUUGACAGGUUUUGGUAUCUAGUAUUAUUUGCUGUUUGAUCUGA